GAACUUUCCAGAGAUGGAUUGGUGCCUUCGGGAACUGUGAGACAGGUGCUGCAUGGCUGUCGUCAGCUCGUGUUGUGAAAUGUUGGGUUAAGUCCCGCAACGAGCGCAACCCUUAUCCUUUGUUGCCAGCGGUCCGGCCGGGAACUCAAAGGAGACUGCCAGUGAUAAACUGGAGGAAGGUGGGGAUGACGUCAAGUCAUCAUGGCCCUUACGACCAGGGCUACACACGUGCUACAAUGGCGCAUACAAAGAGAAGCGACCUCGCGAGAGCAAGCGGACCUCAUAAAGUGCGUCGUAGUCCGGAUUGGAGUCUGCAACUCGACUCCAUGAAGUCGGAAUCGCUAGUAAUCGUGGAUCAGAAUGCCACGGUGAAUACGUUCCCGGGCCUUGUACACACCGCCCGUCACACCAUGGGAGUGGGUUGCAAAAGAAGUAGGUAGCUUAACCUUCGGGAGGGCGCUUACCACUUUGUGAUUCAUGACUGGGGUGAAGUCGUAACAAGGUAACCGUAGGGGAACCUGC
rnacentral:rRNA from 14 species